CAGUAGCCGCGGGAAUACGAAGGGUGCAAGCGUUAAUCGGAAUUACUGGGCGUAAAGCGCACGUAGGCGGCUUGGUAAGUUAGAGGUGAAAGCCAGGAGCUCAACUCCAGAAUUGCCUUUAAGACUGCCGAGCUAGCAGGUGAGAGAGGUAAGUGGAAUUCCGAGUGUAGAGGUGAAAUUCGUAGAUAUUCGGAAGAACACCAGUGGCGAAGGCGGCUUACUGGCUCAUACUGGACGCUGAGGUGCGAAAGCGUGGGGAGCAAACGGGAUUAGAUACCCCUGUAGUCCCUGUCUCUUAUAU
rnacentral:rRNA from 1 species